CACAUUGGAAAUAAAUUUCAUAAUUCGAUUUAGAAUACAGAGUUCUUUGUUGAGUUCUUCGAGAAUGAAAAGAAAAAGAGAUAACAACGAUCGUUGCAAUAAAUGUGGAUUGCAAACAAUACUUCGACCAGAGCAUGCAGCAGUUGUGACGCAAAUAUUGUUUGAGCGCAGUCUUCAAAUGACGGAAGUUGCCUCAAUGGCCUCACUUUUGAUUUUAUUCAAGGUGAAUGAAGCACUCGAUAAUGAAGAUCGUCAGUUCUUUUUGCGACGGAAUCGUCGACAGUUCUUCUUCGAUUGCUUCAAUGCGGUAUUGGCCGAAAAUGUUUACAAUUAUAAUAGCCGAAAUCCCAUACCGCCAGAGUUUCGGUUCAUGGUCGAAAACUUCAGUGAUGAACAGUUGGAAUGGCCAAGCAAGGAAAAGUUGGAGAAUGGUUUUCGUUAUUUUGUCAAAUAGCACAUCGCAAAUACGAAAACUGGUCUCACCACUUGGUGUGAAGAUCGACUUGAGUCAUUCUUUCGAAUGCGAUGCUGGUAUCGCAAUCACAACAUCUAUGGACCGAGAUUUGAUGGCAUCGACAUCAGAAAUGCCAAAAUGUAAGCAUAUCGAUCCAACGACUUGAGAAAUGGUAAUGUGGAAAGAAUGAAAAAGGCCAACAUUUUAUUGGAUGAUCUGGUCGCAAUUGGAUGGCGACGCGAAAAAUGCAUGAAAUUUUUUGUAAAAGAUCAUUGGUUUGAAUCGUUGUGGUUGUUCGGACAAAUUCAACGUCAAAUAGCAGCUUAUCACAGUGAUGCCGCACAAUGGAGUACCAGUCAUGAAAUAUUUCGUGACAAUCCAAACUUUCAACAGCCAACAAACAAUCGACCACGGAAAAUAAACAGUUUUGCUCUUUUACCGUUAUGCGAUUAUCAUUUGAAGUGCGUGCGUAUAACAAAUUGGCAAGCAAGCUAAAAGUGGUGCCCAGAUUCCUGAAUACUGGGACCAACCGGCUAAAAAAAUACCCCGAAAAAUACUACAGAGAGCAUGAUCGAGAUGGACUAUGGAAUUUGUUGUUCGACGUCGAUAAAAUCAAGCAAUUGGGCAAAGGAUCCAAACAAUUCCAUCAUCAAAUCGUGACCGCCACUGUUCCGUAUCGGCAAUGUACACCAAACUAGAGCAGACGUGCAACGAAAAUGUGCAUUUACAGGCGGACAAUCUUGUAGGCAAGAAAUACGUUAUUGGCAUCGAUCCGAAUGAAAAAACGUGGUUGGCUAUAACGCGUCGCAACAUCCGGAAAACACCUAAUGAACCGGCCGUUGAGGAAAACAUCACAAUACCAAACACGCGAUUCUACUGGAAAACUCGGCAGAAACGAAGAGAAAAAGAGGCGAAAAAAUUAGUUGGAUGGUUUGAUAUCGAAGAAAAGGAUCAUCUGAAGACAUACCCAUUCGGUCCACCAUCACCGCGUAAUUCAACAUGGAAAUGGUACAUUGAGUAUCGCAUCAAAAUGCUACGAAAAGGAAUGUCAGCAUAUGCUACGCGCAAAUAUUCACGACUGGAUUUUGAUCAUUACAUGAAGUCGAACCAGGUAAAUGAUAACAUAGCCGUGACAGUGACCAACAACAUGCCGUCAAUAAAUAUCUUUGGUGCAUCGGAGAUGCCACCCAAUCGGCCAUUUGGUUUGAAGAGACGGAAAAGAUAUCAAGGAUCUCGAAAAUUGUUGGUGAGCGUCAAGAAACUUGGCCAUACUCAGUCGCUAGUCCGGACUCAGUCGCUAGUCUACCAGAUAUAAUUGUGACAACGGUUAGCAAACGUGCUUUGCAAGAGGGACGGAAGGAAAUUAAGCGUCGAAUUCGCAAUGGCAAUUAUCAGGAUGUGGAGGAAAUACUUCGGAAUGGGUGUUUAAUGUCAAAGGUUAAAUGUUCAGGAUGGUGGUGCUGCUCCACAGACAGUUGUUUGGCACCGCGAUAUUGUUGCUGCAAAAUUCAUUAUGCUCAAAGGACUUUGUCGGAUGUUCGGCGUACUAGUGCCUGAUUCGUUGAGAAAACCACCAAACAAUGUCAACUGACAAGCAGCAGCACAUACAUAGUUCAUGUGUUUCAUUUCAGUUUCAGCUUUGAUUUUCUUUUAAUUGAAAAAUAUUUUUUUAAACCAAUAUUUCUGGACCGUAUGUUUUUAUUUGAUAAAGAGAUGAAUUGUUUUGCUUGUAUAAAAAUCAUGUAAAUUCAUAUCGUGUAUGUAAUGUGUGUGAAUGCCAUUUUGCUCGGAGUGUCAUGAACUUUAACUCUAUUCACAUCAAACAAUUAUCAUUACAAAAUU